AGUCUGUAUCAGGCAGAAGAAAUAGACUGAGUUUCAGAAUUGAGGACAGUUCAUAAGACACGUAAAUGGAAAAUGACAAGACACUUCCUAUCUGUGUGACCUUGAACAAGUCACUUAACCCAAAUCACCUCGCCUUUAACUGCUCUUCUGCAUUGGAACAGAGAAUUGAUUCUAAAACAGAAAGUAAGGAGUUAAAAAAUGAUGAAGAUGAUGACAAUGAUAACAAAAACAAUGGCUCAUAUGAUCACAAAAGGAAAGUUAUAUAUUUAAAGAAAUGGAAAUCCUAUACCUAAAUAUCAGAUAAGCAUUGAGCUGAAAAGUUUACUGAGGCAUUAAAACUGUUCAGUUCAACUUCAGCAUACAUAAAUCCAAGUUCAACAGUCAUUUGCUGAAAGAUUUUUGUCUGACUUUCAUAUUUCCUCUAGGAAAUCAGGCAGCAGAACAUCGAAUCACCUCUGCCUCCUCCACUGCCUUUUCACAGAUGUUCAGCCACAAGCUAAAUUGGAUUUUUCUUGAAAUGUUUCAAAUCUAUCCAUUCUCCUUUUUCAUGGCCAUCAACCCUAAGUCCAAGACUUUAUUACCACAUACCCUUAACAACUAGAAUAUCUUAUAAUUAAUUGCUCACCUCUGGUUAGUUUCUCUACUACCUUAAUCUAUCUUAGUUGGAUAAACCUAAAUUAAUUCAUUCUUUUAAUAUAGAUUUUACUCAUGUCAUUUGCCUUUUCAUCAUAAUCAUUUCUGGAAAUUUGUCCCUCACACCACAGACUAAGUUUUCCCUAAUGAAAAAAGAAAAUUAAAUAAAAACACCAGGUCCUGAAUCUCUGGCAUGAAAAGAGAUCUGUAACAUGUAUCUUUACCUAGGACCAAGCACUUCAUCCACUUCACUGGGGCUGAGUGAGCCUUCGAUAUUUUAGCUGAACACACACUCCUAAAAUCCCCUUCUCUCACUACCUCUGGAAAAAGUAAUCAUGUCAAUACUCCAAUUCCCACUGAGGCUACUAGCAUCUCAGUGACUCCUCUGGCCACUCCCUCAUAUCUUUGGUCUUCUCUUAUUUAAAUGAAAACUUCCUGAGGGCAGGAACUGGCUUGCUCCUUUGUUUUGAUAAGCCCCCAAAUUCAGCAUAGUGCUUGGCAUGUAGUAAAUGCUUAAUAAAUUCUUUUAAAUACACUCAUAUCACCUCCCUGCUCAAAAACCUACAAAGCUUUUCAUUUCAUGCAUAACAACCUUUAACAGGUCCCUGCUUCCCAUAGGAUCAAGUGCAAGGACCUUCUAAAUGGCCUCAAUGUGCUUCUUUCCAUAACUCUGUGAAACUUACAAGUGAACCAUAAUAGUCUACUUUCUCUCAACACAAAAAGUCCAUUACUUUUCUGGCUCUUUACCAUGCCAUUUUACCUCUGGGAUGAAAGAAUAUACUCUCUCCUUAUAUCACAUCCACCUCUUAACACUCAACUCUGAUCUCACCUCUUCUGAGAAGAUAGUAUCCAAUAAGUAAUAGGAUCUUGAAAAAUGUUUGCUGAACUGAAGACACCCCUAAAUAAUCUAAGCUAAAAUGAUCUCUAAGUACUUCUUCUGAAUACUUAUUAUUAUAUGCAAAUAUCAUACUCUGCCUUUAAAUUUUAACCAUUUUUUUGUCCCAGUUAUAAGAUACAAUAGCAGGGAAAGUCAUAAAUGGAUGCAAAAAACAGACAAUUUACCAAUGUAAAUGCCAACAUUCCAUUACUAGCACAUAUGUUCAAAACUAGUGAACAUUAGCAUUCACCUUGGCUAGCAAGUCAACUUAGGUUUUUUUAAGUUUCAUUUGUUUUUAGAAAUUGUGUUUGAACCCAAUAAACCAUGCAUAUUCUUUUUUCCUCCUCUCUAAUCCACCUUAUCAAAUCAACAUGAUCAAAACCAAGCAUUACUUUACCACAACCUAUAGUUGCUGAAUCCCUAUUUCCUCCUUUCCCUCUGCUACAGCAAAUAGCUUCUGGGUCCACAGCGAAAAACACCUCCCAGGUUACAAAGCUGAUUCUGCCCUCUCCAGCCAAGUGAUCUCUCAUGUCUCCUUAUCGAUCCCAUCUCCUAACACAGCAAAACAGUCUCUAAGACACAACGUGAACAAAGUGGAAUGAAACUGAACAAAGGCCUUUCUUCACAAUACUCCUAUGAUGUAAAUGAUGGAACAUCUUUCACAAGUACCAAGUUGAAGAGUUCAACCAAGGGAAUUCCUAGGGACAAGAAGCUUCAACAAAGAAUCUUCUUAAAUCAACAAGAGAACAUAUGCAGGGGUAGCCUUGGCCCUUCCAGCUGCCUUACCUGCAUGCAUACAGCAUAUUGGACAUGAAAGUAACAGGGUUCGUGCUUCUAGAUGUGUCCAUCACAUAAAUGACAAUUGUUGGAAAUGAGGAUGCCUGAAGAAAAAGGGUACAAAUAAGACUUACCAGGGCUUCAGUAAUAAUUGUACCAGAAGCUGACCAAGUGAAGACCUCGAUCUGUCCAGGUGUAUCUAUCAAGACAUACCUGUUUUAUGAAUAAAUAUUACUAUGUAUUAAAUAUUCUGCAUGAAGGAUUUCAUCAACCACUAUACAGAAAACUAAAAAAUACUAAGAUAUUCCAUCACACAAUACUGUCCAUUCCUAAAAUCUGAAAACAUUUAAAUUUAACACGGCACCCAAAUUUUGGGUAUAUUUUUGUCUUCUUAUUGGGUUAUGGAUGAAUAACCCCAAUUAUCUUUCAAUAAGGACACAAAAACACUCUCAAAGUGACCUUUGUAUCUAUAAUUGGACAAAGAUAAUAAUGUGCAAGCAUCUAAAUAUAAUAAUAAAUUAUUUCACAAGCCUAGGGCAAUAAUAUAAAAAACCCAUUGUCUUUGGAAAUGGAUGUUUGAGACAGUAGAUUAACCUGAGGAUCAUUAAAGGAGAUGUUUCAAGAAGAAAAGUUGACUCUUCAAAGAAUAAACAUUGAAAGUUGCCAGGGAUUCUGAAAUGCUCUAUGGCAGAUCUAGCCAGAGUUAACAUCCUAGAACUGGUUAAGCUCCAUAUAGUUAGAAAAGCAGAACUAAUAUUUAGAAAUAUAGUAACUUUAGCCAGGUGAUGACUUUACAGUUCCUGUAGAAGUGUCUUUAAUGUUCUUUAGUAAAUGCCUCUAAAUCUGAAAUCAUGAUAGAAAGAAAAAGCUGACAGCAAAUGUUUCUCUCCACUUUCCUGACUGGAGUUCCAGUAUUCAAAACCAAGAACCACUGCUCAUAGUAAAUUUGAAUAGUCCUACAGAGCAGAACUAUGGGGAACUGAAUAGCCUGCCACAAAACUCCCAGGAGAAAUGUUUAACAAAAUAAAGAGAAAUACAAUAAAACAGACAAUAUUAAUUUGUGGUUUUCCAAGUCAAUACUCUAUUUCUAUUUGAGUUUGAUGUCAGUGGUUCAGACCACUGGUUCCCCUGGGUCAGAUAAGCACUGGAGAUGAGCUACUAUCUGAGGCAAUAGAUAAUUUGUUAUUGAGUCAUUUCAGUUGUGUCCAACUUCGUGACCCCAUUUAGGGUUUUCUUGGCAAAGAUACUGGAAUGGUUUGUCAUUUCAUUCUCCAGUUCAUUUUAUAGAUGAGGAAACUGAGGCAAACAGAGUUAAGUGCCCAGGGUCACAUAGUUAAUAAGCCUCUGAGGCUAGAUUCGAACUCAGGAAGAUGAAGUUUCCUGACUUCAAGUCCAUCACUCUAUCCCCCAUGUCACCUAGCUGCCACAGUAGCUAAUUUUUAGAUAAAAAGAUUGUACAAAACCUUCAUUGUUCCCUUCCUGGGCAAAAUUAUUACCCAAAAAGUACUUAAGAAAAUUAGCAUUCUCUCUUUUUGAAUUAUGUGAGUUUUACUUAUAAAAAUUUAGGAGGAAAGGAUGCCUCCAAAUAGACUGCUGAGAAAAAGGGACAGAAGCAAUGGUACUCCAAAGCAGGGAGGGCAGGUUUCCCAAGAGAGAAGACUAGGAGACAAAUUACUGAAGCCAGGCAAAAUUCCCAGUCUAAGACUUUCUUCCCAUCAGUGACCCAGAGACUCUCUUAAAGAAUUUAGGAGUUAUUUGAGGAUAUCCAGUUUAAUGGUUUUUUGCUUAUUUCAUAUGAAUAUCUAAUCUACUUCAAACUAAAGCCAUAGAUUUCUUGUAUAUGUUCUAUAGCAUUCAGUAUAUUGAGCACCCAUACUAGGCACAUAUAAGUGUUCAAAAAAUACUUGUUAAUUUAGUUACUCACUGUGACAUGUUCUGAGACUUCUCAAUAAACUUCAUGACCUAAAAAGAAAGAGAAUUGGUUCUUAUAGGUCUUUGGGACAUCCACAGGUCAGAAACUCUCCCAAAACAAGCAGCAGCAAACAAAAAAACUUCAAACUGGGAAGUACAUUCAUUAAUUUCAGGGUGCUGAGGCAGCUAGGGUACACACACACA